rnacentral:rRNA from 1 species
UACGGGGGGAGCAAGCGUUGUUCGGAUUUACUGGGCGUAAAGGGCGCGUAGGCGGCCAGCACAAGUCAGUUGUGAAAUCUCCGAGCUUAACUCGGAAAGGUCAACUGAUACUGUGCGGCUAGAGUGCGGAAGGGGCAACUGGAAUUCUUGGUGUAGCGGUGAAAUGCGUAGAUAUCAAGAGGAACACCUGCGGCGAAGGCGGGUUGGCU